AAGCGGUGGAGGAUGUGGCUUAAUUCGAGGCUACGCGAAGAACCUUAUCCUAGUCUUGACAUGCACGGAUUAACCUCUGGAAACAGAGGCCACGCCUUCGGGUGGAACGUGCACAGGUGCUGCAUGGCUGUCGUCAGCUCGUGUCGUGAGAUGUCGGGGUAAGUCCCUUAACGAGCGAAACCCUUGUCACUAGUUGCCAGCGCGUCAUGGCGGGGACUCUAGUGAGACUGCCGGUGUUAAACCGGAGGAAGGUGGGGAUG
rnacentral:rRNA from 1 species